AUUGAACGCUGGCGGCAUGCCUUACACAUGCAAGUCGAACGGCAGCACGGGAGCAAUCCUGGUGGCGAGUGGCGAACGGGUGAGUAAUAUAUCGGAACGUGCCCAGUAGUGGGGGAUAGCCCGGCGAAAGCCGGAUUAAUACCGCAUACGACCUGUGGGUGAAAGCGGGGGAUCGCAAGACCUCGCGCUAUUGGAGCGGCCGAUAUCAGAUUAGCUAGUUGGUGGGGUAAAGGCUCACCAAGCCAACGAUCUGUAGCUGGUCUGAGAGGACGGACCAGCCACACUGGAACUGAGACACGGUCCAGACUCCUACGGGAGGCAGCAGUGGGGAAUUUUGGACAAUGGACGCAAGUCUGAUCCAGCCAUUCCGCGUGCAGGAUGAAGGCCCUCGGGUUGUAAACUGCUUUUGUCAGGGAAGAAAUCUUCUGGGCUAAUACCUCGGGAGGAUGACGGUACCUGAAGAAUAAGGC
rnacentral:rRNA from 1 species